GCUACCUGUCCCAGACCUGCUGUUUUCAACUCUCUAGAGACCACAGGAGCGAUACUGAGAUGAACCCACCAAGCGGAGGACCAAAGGAAAGCGAUGAGCUUGACUACCAUUAAUGAGAGGCCAGUGAGAAGCAGAGGACCAGAGGAAAGCGAUGAGCUUGACUACCAUUAAUGAGAGGCCAGUGAGAAGCAGAGGACCAGAGGAGAGCGAUGAGCUUGAAUACCAUUAAUGAGAGGCCAGUGAGAAGCAGAGGACCAGAGGAGAGCGAUGAGCUUGACUACCAUUAAUGAGAGGCCAGUGAGAAGCAGAGGACCAGAGGAGAGCGAUGAGCUUGACUACCAUUAAUGAGAGGCCAGUGAGAAGCAGAGGACCAGAGGAGAGCGAUGAGCUUGACUACCAUUAAUGAGAGGCCAGUGAGAAGCAGAGGACCAGAGGAGAGCGUGAGCUUGACUACCAUUAAUGAGAGGCCAGUGAGAAGCAGAGGACCAGAGGAGAGCGAUGAGCUUGACUACCAUUAAUGAGAGGCCAGUGAGAAGCAGAGGACCAGAGGAGAGCGAUGAGCUUGACUACCAUUAAUGAGAGGCCAGUGAGAAGCAGAGGACCAGAGGAGAGCGAUGAGCUUGACUACCAUUAAUGAGAGGCCAGUGAGAAGCAGAGGACCAGAGGAAAGCGAUGAGCUUGACUACCAUUAAUGAGAGGCCAGUGAGAAGCAGAGGACCAGAGGAGAGCGAUGAGCUUGACUACCAUUAAUGAGAGGCCAGUGAGAAGCAGAGGACCAGAGGAGAGCGAUGAGCUUGACUACCAUUAAUGAGAGGCCAGUGAGAAGCAGAGGACCAGAGGAGAGCGAUGAGCUUGACUACCAUUAAUGAGAGGCCAGUGAGAAGCAGAGGACCAGAGGAGAGCGAUGAGCUUGACUACCAUUAAUGAGAGGCCAGUGAGAAGCAGAGGACCAGAGGAGAGCGAUGAGCUUGACUACCAUUAAUGAGAGGCCAGUGAGAAGCAGAGGACCAGAGGAAAGCGAUGAGCUUGACUACCAUUAAUGAGAGGCCAGUGAGAAGCAGAGGACCAGAGGAGAGCGAUGAGCUUGACAACCUUUCAGGAGAGGCCAUAUAGUCAAGCCAACACAUCCAAACCAACCUAAACCCACAGCUAACAUCCUAGCCUUCGGGGGUUUGACAGAAAUCAUAAUUAAAAAUAAAAUUUGCUUACCGGCCCAGUACACACUGCAAUACAUACGGACACAGAGUUGUCUGUGUGUCAUACACUGGCCAACAGUACAUUUAGGCUUUUAUCCAAGUCAGUUAUGGAAGAGCAAAGCAAAUGUUUAGUAGCAAACGGUAUAGGAGUAUUUUCCAUUUAAUUAGAAAUACUGAAGCUUUGAUUACUUGAAUCAGCUGUGUAGUUCUAGGGCAAAAAAA